CAGGAGAAUUCUAGAACAUGCUUCAUGGGAAAUGCUACUGGAAAUGGGAGUUCUCAAGGUCGUGGUUAAGUGUAUGCUGUGGAAUCUUAAAGACCUGGGUUUGACUCCUGGCUUCACCAUACAGAUUGUGCAACUGAAUCUCCUUGAGCCUGAGCUUCCUCAUCAGCAGAGUGAGGAUGAUAACACUGAUCUUACAGAAAAGACCCUAGAAGAUGAUGGAGCCACAAGAUGGAAAGAGCCUGUACCCUGAAUCUUAGUGUGAACGAAAACAUGCCCACGAAAUACUCAAUUAAAGGAGGAGAGCAGGUUUGUGGACUCCCAGAAUGGAGGAGACCUGCGCUGUCUUUCCCAUAUACAGCUUGGGAAGAUGAGAAGAGCCUGGAGAAGGAAGGGAUUCAUGUGAGUUGAAGCAGACAGAACAUGGAUGGCCUCAGAAAGAUUCCCAGACACUGGUGUAGUCUCACAGCAGGUGGUUGGAUUAUGCAUCAGCCUUUGAGCAAAGAAACAAAAAAAAGGUAUGAAGAUCUGAUACUGGUGUUUUCCCAAUUCUUGUUUUUCCACCCACAGCUGAAGGAACAGAUAGCAAGGAAGAUAAUCAUUAUCUGACAACCUUGUCUCUGUUGUGCAUUCCAGGCAAUGGACUAAUUCUGAUACAUGUGAAACAUAAGCAGUAUUUUUUAAGUGUAAUAUAAAAAUGAUCAGUAUAAAUUGAACCAUAUUUAUAUUCCCAGAGUGUCAGAUUUAAUUCUGAUUUGUUUGGCUAAAGUAAAUUAAUAUUAGAAUCAGUUAAAAUUAUUUGUAUAAUGGAGAAAAAUAUGAAAGUAGGACAGAAAGUGGGGGAAGGAAAGACAGAGGGAAGGGAGGAAAUUAUAAAUUAAAUUAAAUUUAUUGGGUUACUUGCCUCUCUCUGUUUUAUCUUUAAAAAUACAUCCAAAUGGCACCAAGGCAACUAAUUAAUUCAGAUAAUCAAUAUGUGGAAUUCAGAGUACAGUUCUGUCUGCACCAAGAAAUAGAACACUGUUGGAAUGCUAUAUUUUUCAGUGUCUAUCAGUAUCAGGCAUACAGGACCAAAAUAUCUCUUUUUUGUAUGUCUCUCAAGCUCCUUUAGUUGCAGUUUCUUUAGUUAGACUUUUAUGCUUCUCUCUUCUAUUUAAGGUUUUAAGACUAUAUGUUCUUAGUGCAAGAACAAUCUCCCCAAUAAUGUAUCACCACAAAUUAAACAAAAAAUGCUAGCCUGUUAUUUACUAUGUGUACAAGUCUACCUUAUAAUUUAAUUCUAAAACAACUGUGCGCUAAUACUUAGAUGUAGCAUGAAUCCAUUAAUUAAUUUGUAUUUGAUGGAUGUUGGUGGAAUCUUAGCAACAUUAUUGCACGUUUUAGCAUAAACGUUGCAGUCAAGGAAGUACGUCUCCCAAUGAUCUGUGCAAUUAUCUUGUUAGUUGGCGUAUGUUGUUAUUUUUGUUGUUGUUACUAUGAAGACUUUGCUAAGCCCUAUAAAAUUACACUUCAAUUUUCAGUUAUUGCUAACAAAACUCUAGUGGCCAAAUUUUGCCAUCUCUACUGUAAAUGAAGAAAGUGAUAAGCAAAUUGUUUCCCUGUGAUUUAAUCAUUUAUAUCACACCAAAACUCAUCCACUAGAGUAACAGCCAAUUUCCAAUUGUUAACAGUUUGGGGGUGAUCACAUGUCAUUUCUGUUUAUGACAAUUUUGAGAUGGUCAUCUCAAUGCUUUUCUCAGUGGAUAUGUAUUCAGCAGCCAAUGCAACAUCACAGUUGAUCCUAAUAGAUACUCAAGUGAGUAGCCUCAACAAAGAGGCCUAUAAUUAAAGAGCCACAUGACUGAAAAUGAUGAAUUCCCUUCUUACCUUCCUUGCUGCUUCUUCUAGAAUAGGAUUGAAAUACUUGUUGGGGCAGCAAGCCUAGAAUCCUAUGACAGCAGCACAGAAGCCAUCCAUCUCCGUUGCAGCCAACCAAGACUCUUGACCAGUAUUACAUCCACUUACAGUGACAAACUAACAAUUACUGAAAAUAUUUUAAAGUGCAAAGAGAACACAGUAGGUACCUAAUGUAUAGAUGAGCUGCUCCAUUUAAAGACCAUCUGUUGUCUUUUCUUUUACCUCAACUCAGUUCCUAGCCAUAAGAUUGUAUAAAAAAAGAUUAUAAUCUGUUGUAAAAAGAACUGUAGAAAUAAAAACUUCACAUAUAAAGUCCUCUGAAUAAUAUUAAAUAUAAAUACAGUAAGAGGAGAACUGGUCAGAACUUCCCACAAAUAAACUGAACCACUGAUGCAUUAAAAACUCAAAGAGAAAAAUUAAAAUUUCCUGAAUGGGAUGAUAAAGGCAGCAAGAUAAGUGUUGCUACUGAGUAUGAUUCCUCUAGGGUGCAUGCGUGGUCCAGCAGGUCUCCUCAAUGGAGAAAUAUUUGUUAUUUCCCAUAGAGUCACUGUCAUCCAGAACCAGGCUGGAUAAAAAUUCAACAGAGUGUUUUUCAUUUUUUCAAACUCCAACUUAGAUAAAUGUGUUAUUCUCUCCCCCCUCCUAGAAUCCUUGGGGAGGGAUGUAUGGUCAAAGUUACAGAAUUUACAGGAAAUGAAGACAAAGUGUUUGAAAUAAACAUUUAAUCGGUGCAGCCCAUAAGAAGGAAGAGUGAGAAAGAUAAAACUCAAUCUUUCUGGAUUGAGUUGUCAGGCUGAAGUCAUUGAAAAAUACAGAAUUCUCACUGAAAAAGGCGUCCAGGUGAUAGUUCUUUUCAAAUGUGUAUAUUUCUCAGUUUAUGUGGUCAUUAGGACACUCGAAAGUCUUCAUUAUAACAACAUCUUAUAUGGCCCGGCCAUGGUCUUUCUCUCCAAGAUGGCUCAUCACCUUUCUCCGUAUUUUACUCUUCAUUUUUUUGACCUGCUACUCUUCAAGGACAUUUAUAGUUUUUUCUCCCUAAAUGAGCUUAACAUGAAGGACUUAGUAAGUAUAAAAUAGAAUGAUAUGUUCUGGUCAUAAUCUUAUUAAAGUGGACUGACUAUAAAUUAUAAACUGGGUGGUCUUACGAUUGCUAUUUCCAUCCCUACAAUUCUUACCAUCGUCCUAAAAAAUAACAUUCCUCAAAAGACACUUUAUCAAAUGAAUAAUGGGGCCACAUGGACACCAUAGAGGAAAACACAAUUAAGAAUAAUGAAUUUCAAGCAGUUUUCAUAAUAGAUGUCUGAAAACAUGAUACACACGGUUACUGGUAUUUGGCCUUGUUUUAGAAAAAUGCUUUUGAGUCUUUCCACUAAUGCUUUUUGUCUUGAAGCAGCUUGUUGUAUCCCCAUUAAUCUGAACGAACUCAACAAACGCAGAGCAAGGCUGUUUUGGCAGAAGGACAAAGGACACUUUCCCCUCAGCUCCUAACAAAUUGCUUUCAUUAAGAACAAAUAGUCUUGGAGCAUUAUUCUACUUGAGUCUCUGCCUGGUGACAAGCCCAAAGGGCAGACCCAAUGUUCACUGUAAACAAUAAGAAUGGGUCUCAGCAAGUGGCAUGUCCUUCUGUAGUUUAAAAACUCCAUUCUUUGGGAGGAUGUGGUGGGCUCCUUCCAACCAUCAAACAUCAGUUUGUGAUAACUUUCAAUCACCAGUUUGUGAUAACUUUCAAUAGUUGUUAUAGCUUUGGACUUUGUUUAUGAUUAAGGCAAUUCCAAAUAAAAUGGAAAUUACGAAGUGGCGGAAAUUUUUUGAAGACUCAUGUUUGUCAUGCUGCUCUUCUGAAGUUGCAUUAAGGAAGGAAUAGUUUGUAGAUAUCCUAAAAGGAGCCCCUAGUUCACUUAUUUCAAGGUCUUUCUCAACUGUCUCGACCUGGAUCUGGGAAAUAUUCAUUCCCAAUAUCUUUUAAGAAAUUCUGGCAAAGAUUAAAAUAUGUGAAAAUAAAAAUAAAACAAAUGUCAGCUUAAGCGCAAAAUAAUGUAAAGAGGAAUUGUAACCUAAUAUGAAAAUAAUAUUCUAUGUUCAUAGUUUCAGCUGAUUUUUUAAAAUCUGGGUUUUUUUCUUAUAAACUUCCCAUCAGUGAGACUUACAAAAAGACUACAAUUUAUAGACAUUUCAAAAGAGGACCUUUAGCUCUUUUAUAUUUUUAAGCAUGUUUGAUUUUGAAAUAACUUAGAGUCAGUAUUAAUACUUGAAAAAUAAUUCCCAAGAAUGCACAUCAACUGCUCUUCACAAUGCCAUUUUCUUACUUCGAUUACUGCAUUACAUGCUUACUGUGCAUUUAUAAAUCUUAGGUUUUAGCAUACUAUAACUCAGCAGUUUAAACUGAGUCAGAUUCCAGAUACAAAUGAUGUUUUUAAAAGGAAGAUUAAAAACCAGCUAAGCCAGAGCACUUCAAAAGCUCAUUGGCCUUGCCCUGAGGAAGAAGUUGAGGAGACAGGAGGGGUCAUAAGAAGUACAUUUUGUGUUUGAAUAAGGAAUUGAUUUGGGGAAGAACUCCAGGCUAGCUGAGACUGAAGAUCAUAAUUUUCUCUUCUUCCAACGCUCUGUCAAUAAAAGAACAUUAGAGAAUCUAUCCUCUAAAGAAGCAGUCCAUCUUUCGGUUUCAUCAUCACCAUCAAAAAGCAUUUUUGUUAUUCACCCAGCGGUUUCUCCACGGGAAGCAGUAUGGAUUGCCUUAAGUAUGGGAAGGAACCACAGAAGAGUCACCAUUAUUUAAUAAAUCCUUGCAUCAUCUCCGAGGUAGGGGGUAAACAGGAUCUUUAUUUUGGCUCUCUUUGCAGCCUCAUACAUACAUGCCAAGAGGAAAGAAACAGAUACAUAAAUAAACCCUUUUUAAAAUCAAAUAAAAUCGAAGCAAAGAAACCUUAAGUGACGCUAUCAAAAUACUAUAGAUAAAUUCAUAUUCUUCAUUUAUAUUGCCUAUGCACAUGAUCAGGCUUUUAUUCCAUACGUUACUGACUUCAAUCUUACAUGCAGUCACAGUGAUAUAAAAAACAAAGUCGCAAUUGGAAAAAGAGGCACAACUUCUCUUCCAUGGCCAAUACCUUAUAACUUUAUAUAAUUAAAAGAGAAAACAUUUUAUAGAAUGAUGACUCUAUUAAACUAACAAUGUGUUAAUAAUUAUUUUUAUAAAAAGACAAAAGCCUUGAAUUUGAGAAACUUUCAGUUGGAGUACAUCAUAAAUUAAAUGACAGCAAUAUUGUUAAAAUGUUAUCUGUUAGCCUAACUCUCUCCGACAGUUUAAUUAACUAUGGGGGAAAAAGAAGAACCCAAAUUAUCAGAAGAGAAGACAGAAAGAUCCCCGAUACUUGAUAGAAGGUAAGAGUGGUUUGGAGUUUGGGGAAGUGUGGACCUCAUUGUCCAGAAAAUGAGCUAGACAGCCCUCCUGGAGCUCUAAUUCCUGUGCAGACUUAGACAGCCCAAGCUCCAAGCUGGCUUUGUCCUUGGGAGCAAGGCCUGUCAUUUUGAAAAGCCUUUUUGUCUGAAGCUUGUUUCAUAACAUUUUCCAGUUCCUCUCGCUCUGAUUCACGGUCACUGAUUCUCACAAUGUGGUGAGCUCUGUCCUAUGUGUUUUCUGAUUCCACUUGAUUCAAUGUUGAACCAUAUAUAUGCAAAAAUAUAAUGAGAGUAAAGGAAAGAACGAUAAGCCCUGUGCAGGGAAAGGGGUUUUCAGAAGCAAUUAUAAUCUGGAUUCGGUUGUAAUGGAUUUCAUCGAGUGGAGAAGAGAAGGAGAGCAUUCCAGACAGAGGAAAAUGUCACCAACGAGUGCACAGAGAACUGUACUCAGGAAACAGCAUAAUCAAGAAAGUACUAUCAGAAAGAUGAUGGGGCUGAGAGCUGGGUGAGGAAUGAGACACACCUAGAUGCUAUGCUGAGAACUUGGACAUUAGUCCUAUAGAUUCAUAUUUCCCAUAUUUAUUUGCUCAAGAGAUAUUUUUUAAAGUAUUGGUGAAAUAUCAAUAAUGAUUCAUGACAUAGAUAUAGAACAAAAACCCAUCAUUAGAGACUAAUUAACAGCAGCAAGAAAUUAUCAAUAAAGACUACAAUAAUAUCACAAAUAUACAAUAUAUUCAUGGGAUAAUACAUAAUGCAUGAUUAACUUAUGCCAGUUUAAUCCAAUAGGCAUUGUACAACUUAAAGGGAAGUUGAUAAAUGAUGCCUAUUCAGUAAUGGCAAUGCAUAAUGUGAUCACAUUUGUGACUUCCUGGAAUUCUUAGCUGUGGCAUAUCAUUUAAAACAACUAUUUAAACCUCUUUACAUAUGUGAUUCAAAAUAGAUUAUGGAACUCUUGCCAUCAUGAAAUUUCUUUUUUUCUCCAAAGAACAGAGUUUGGGGAUCACUGCAUCAGACAAUGGAGAAAGAAAUAAAAAGAGAAGCAAAGAGGUCCAUUCUGACAAGGAGAUGCACUCUAUAAACUGUAUAUGACUCAAUUAAAAAGCAAAAAUGUCCAGAAAAUCUCUUAAAAAGUGAAGUUACUAAUAAAAAUUUCAAGUACCAU